UAUGGGCAGCAAAAGUCCUGAUAGCUCAAGUGUGUUCUGUUUUACCACAGGUCUUAAAAGCGUUCUGCUGAUGUUGGACUAAGCUUCAAGAAGAGGAAAUUCUACAUCAGAUUAUGGUUUUGAGAUGAAGGCAGAAGCAUCUUACUUACAUGGGCUCCAGAGAAAAGCAUAGGGGCAUCUCCUGUAACAAACAUCCAAAGAAAAUGCCAGGCAAUCUGUCUCUUCUGUGUGAAAAUCAAAUACUGUCCUGCAGCCUGCUAAACAACACUGCUGAGAAGGAUCUGACAGUCUUCUUCAUGCCCUCCUGUCAGGUAUGUAUGUUGUUAAGAUGCCCCCAAACCUUUUUGGGCAGAAGAGUCUCAGCUUUGUCAGCCUCUAUUUUUGUCAGAUUCUCCUAUUGCUUUGUGAACUUUGUGGUUAUUGCUGGACUCAGUACAUAAGGUCUGUGUCUUUCAUCAUUUAUAAUUUAGAGCUCUUCUCACCUGCCUGGCCAGCCUGUUGCUGAACUUUAGAUCUU